GUCCACGCCCUAAACUAUGUCAACUAGUUGUCGGGUCUUAAUAGGCUUGGUAACGUAGCUAACGCGUGAAGUUGACCGCCUGGGGAGUACGGUCGCAAGAUUAAAACUCAAAGGAAUUGACGGGGACCCGCACAAGCGGUGGAUUAUGUGGAUUAAUUCGAUGCAACGCGAAAAACCUUACCUACUCUUGACAUGUCAGAAAGUUUUCAGAGAUGGAUUCGUGCUCGAAAGAGAAUCUGAACACAGGUGCUGCAUGGCUGUCGU
rnacentral:rRNA from 1 species